CCUACGGGGGGCUGCAGUGGGGAAUAUUGCACAAUGGGCGCAAGCCUGAUGCAGCGACGCCGCGUGCGGGAUGACGGCCUUCGGGUUGUAAACCGCUUUUGACUGGGAGCAAGCCCUUCGGGGUGAGUGUACCUUUCGAAUAAGCACCGGCUAACUACGUGCCAGCAGCCGCGGUAAUACGUAGGGUGCAAGCGUUAUCCGGAAUUAUUGGGCGUAAAGGGCUCGUAGGCGGUUCGUCGCGUCCGGUGUGAAAGUCCAUCGCUUAACGGUGGAUCCGCGCCGGGUACGGGCGGGCUUGAGUGCGGUAGGGGAGACUGGAAUUCCCGGUGUAACGGUGGAAUGUGUAGAUAUCGGGAAGAACACCAAUGGCGAAGGCAGGUCUCUGGGCCGUCACUGACGCUGAGGAGCGAAAGCGUGGGGAGCGAACAGGAUUAGAUACCCCAGUAGUC
rnacentral:rRNA from 1 species